GGUCACUGCCCCUUUGGACAGAUGGGAAAGUGACUCUGAAAGCCCAGGGAGCUUCCCAGCAGCCCAGAGGGUCUCUGAAGCCCCCUAGGCACAGUGGCAAUUGGACUCUCCCAGCCUCUACCUGACUGCAUGUCAUGGGCAGACUGCUCUAGAGAUUUAGAGGGAAUAUAAACGUAAAUAAAGGGACAUGAAGGUUUCAGCUCUGCUGCCCAGGAAUGGAGGAGCAUCUGUGGCCGCUCUGAGGGGCUGUGAUACAUGGUCAUGAGCAGCCCGCCCAUUCCCCAGGGUGGCUCCCUAUGGCACAAGUGCCCCUGCUGUUUCCGGGUCAUGAAGCCUGCAGCCCCUCAUGGUUUGCAUAAACUUGCCGGAUGCCUCCUUACUGCUGCACCUCUUACUCUGGUUUCUGGUGGAGCCCUUGCUCUGGGGAAGGCGCUAAUGUCAGUGAGAACCGUGAUGCUGAGCUCUUCAAAACCUAUUUUGGUUUGGCGCAUGUCUAUACCUUGGGAAUGUGUGCAUUCUGGUCCUUCCUGCAUAGACAGCCCUCCCCACAUGGCAGCGGGGCAUCCAGCCCAGGAGGACACAUCUCGUCAGUUCACCUCAGGACUUAAAACAAAUCUUACCAUUAUGAAGAGGGUUUUGGUUCUGCCGUUAUUUCUGUUAUCUGGAACACGCCCACAGGCUUUCAUCAUGCUACUGUUUACAACCUCAUUACUGAUGUUCCUCAACCACCCAUGAUACCCAUUCUGCUGAAGACAAAGAUUUCUGGGUUUCUGGCUUUCUCCACAUCUCAUCUGACUCCUGUACUAGCUCUGGUUGGACAAGUAUAUCCUGUCAUUUCUUUGGUAUAAGUAGACCUAGGC
rnacentral:lncRNA from 12 species